CACGCCGAUCAAUUUUUUUCCCGUUUUUGAGUCAAAUGAUUUGAAAACCAGCCACCACAUUUUGUUGAAAACUUGGAAGAAUGAUCAGAUAGGCAGUGAUGGGCAAGAACUUCCCCACACGAAGCUCUAGCUAUUCAGGAAUGCAUGCGGAUGGCCAAGGCGGUUUUAACAUAAAUCCAAAACCGAACUGAUUUAAAUCCAUUUGUUGAAAUCAAAACUAAAACCGAAUCUAUCAUC
rnacentral:lncRNA from 1 species